AGCAUCGGGGUGCUAAUCACUUUUACCCUGGUAGUUUGUGGUUUUUGUGAAAUAAUUUUAUCUCUGUCUACAAAGUAAAAUAAUUGUGUUAUUUUGAAAUGC